CUCACCAAAGCAAUAAUGGGUAGCUGGUCUGAGAGGAUGAUCAGCCACACUGGGACUGAGACACUGCCCAGACUCCUACGGGAGGCUGCAGCCGAGAAUCUUUCGCAAUGAGGGAAACCCUGACGAAGCGACGCCGCGUGGAGGAUGAAGGCCCUCGGGUUGUAAACUCCUGUCACUUGGGAUGAAAAGUGGGGCCAUUAAUACCGGUUCUGCCUGACAGUACCUUGAAAGGAAGCUCCGGCUAACUACGUGCCAGCAGCCGCGGUAAUACGUAGGGAGCAAGCGUUGUUCGGAUUUACUGGGCGUAAAGGGUGUGUAGGUUGCUUGGUAAGUCAGUUGUGAAAUCCUUACUGCUCAACAGAAGAAUUGCAAUUGAUACUACCAGGCUAGAGUUCGGUAGAGGAGAGCGGAAUUCUCGGUGUAGCGGUGAAAUGCGUAGAUAUCGAGAAGAACACCAGUGGCGUAGGCGGCUCUCUAGCCCGAUACUGACACUGAAACACGAAAGCGUGGGUAGCGAACGGGAUUAGAUACCCCGGUAGUCCACGCCGUAAACGAUGGGUACUAGGUGCAGGUGGUAUCGAUCCCUUCUGUGCCGAAGCAAACGCGUUAAGUACCCCGCCUGGGGAGUACGGCCGCAAGGCUAAAACUCAAAGGAAUAGACGGGGGCCCGCACAAGCGGUGGAGCAUGUGGUUUAAUACGACGCAACGCGUAGAACCUUACCAGGGCUUGACAUGCUGGUGGUACUGGCUCCGAAAGGAGACAGGACCCUUCGGGGAGCCAACACAGAUGUUGCACGGCUGUCGUCAGCUCGUGUCGUGAGAUGUUGGGUUAAGUCCCGCAACGAGCGCAACCCUUGUCCUUAGUUGCCAGCAGGUAAUGCUGGGGACUCUAAGGAGACUGCCUGUGAUAAGCAGGAGGAAGGUGAGGAUGACGUCAAGUCAUUGUGGCUCUUACGCCCUGGGCUACACACGUGCUACAAUGGUCGAUACAAUGGGUAGCAAUGCCGCGAGGUG
rnacentral:rRNA from 1 species